GACGAUCAGUAUCUGGUUUGAGAGGAUGAUCAGACACACUGGAACUGAGACACGGUCCAGACUCCUACGGGAGGCAGCAGUGGGGAAUUUUCCGCAAUGGGCGAAAGCCUGACGGAGCAAUACCGCGUGAGGGAUGACGGCCUAUGGGUUGUAAACCUCUUUUUUCAGGGAGGAAAAAAAUGACGUUACCUGAAGAAUAAGCAUCGGCUAACUCCGUGCCAGCAGCCGCGGUAAGACGGAGGAUGCAAGUGUUAUCCGGAAUCACUGGGCGUAAAGCGUCUGUAGGUGGUUUAAUAAGUCAACUGUUAAAUCUUGAGGCUCAACCUCAAAAUCGCAGUCGAAACUAUUAGACUAGAGUAUAGUAGGGGUAAAGGGAAUUUCCAGUGGAGCGGUGAAAUGCGUAGAGAUUGGAAAGAACACCGAUGGCGAAGGCACUUUACUGGGCUAUUACUAACACUGAGAGACGAAAGCUAGGGUAGCAAAUGGGAUUAGAUACCCCAGUAGUCCUAGCCGUAAACAAUGGAUACUAGAUGUUGAACAGAUCGACCUGUGCAGUAUCAAAGCUAACGCGUUAAGUAUCCCGCCUGGGAAGUAUGCUCGCAAGAGUG
rnacentral:rRNA from 1 species